GCCAUGUGUGGCUGCAUAAAAAUACUAAACAGAUAUUUUUUUCAAUAUGUGAGUGUUAAAUAUUUUCCAGUACUUGAAAAUACAUUCCAAAAGAAUAAGAGAUUUUGAUAUCAAGUAUCCCAUCUGAAGAAAGAGAAAGAAAUUGAUGCCCUCUUAAAUUUCUACUUGAUUUCUACAUCCUCAAGGCAUCCCCAAGCUGGAAAGACAAUGAGGAACCUCAACAGCUAAGAUUGCUUCCUCACCAGCGAAGACCAGACCAAAAAAGGAAACUGAGCUCAAGUGGUACUGUCAGCUGCCACCAAAGACAACAGCAUCAGAGAAUGAAACCAUGACCGAAGAUUCCUCCCUGGUGGGCUUGGGAAGGCAGGCGGUUCUCAGGGAAGUCGCGUAUAGACUGAGCCAGCACACAGACUAGCACGCCAAGGCACCGCCCCACUGGAAUCUAACUGCAUUAACAUUCUGAACAAUCUAAUUGCUUUUCCCAAGCAAUUUCCUGUCUGGAAGAGGUUGCCGAUUUCUUUGAAGCUAAAAUAGGCACAUCCCUCACUUAUAAAAAUAAUAAACAGCUUUCUGA